UGGGAUUAAAGGUAUGUGCCACCACCGUC
rnacentral:piRNA from 1 species